rnacentral:rRNA from 1 species
GGGCCCGCACAAGCGGAGGAACAUGUGGUUUAAUUCGAUGAUACGCGAGGAACCUUACCCGGGCUUGAAAGUUAGCGACGGACUUGGAAACAGGUCUUCCCUUCGGGGCGCGAAACUAGGUGCUGCAUGGUUGUCGUCAGCUCGUGCCGUGAGGUGUCGGGUUAAGUCCCAUAACGAGCGCAACCCCUACCGUUAGUUGCCAUCAGGUCAAGCUGGGCACUCUGGCGGGACUGCCGGUGUAAGCCGAGAGGAAGGUGGGGAUGACGUCAAAUCAGCACGGCCCUUACGUCCGGGGCGACACACGUGUUACAAUGGCCGGUACAGAGGGCAGCUACCCAGCGAUGGGAUGCGAAUCUCGAAAGCCGGUCUCAGUUCGGAUUGGAGGCUGAAACCCGCCUCCAUGAAGUUGGAUUCGCUAGUAAUCGCGCAUCAGCCAUGGCG